AACGUAGGACGCAAGCGUUAUCCGGAGUUACUGGGCGUAAAGCGCGGGCAGGCGGUCACUCAAGUCUGAUGUGAAAUCUCUCCGCUCAACGGGGAGCAGCCAUUGGAAACUGGGCGACUGGAGUCUGGCAGAGGUAGGCGGAAUUCCGGGUGGAGUGGUGAAAUGCGUAGAUAUCAAGAGGAACACCUGCGGCGAAGGCGGGUUGCUGGGCCGACACUGACGCUGAGGCGCGAAAGCUAGGGGAGCGAACGGG
rnacentral:rRNA from 1 species